UCAACCGUUGAAGUGAACAUAAUCGUACCGAGCUUUUUGAAUUUAAUUAAGCAGUUUAAAGCGCCAGAAAUCCGAGCUCUGGUCUAUAGAAAAAUGUAAUUAUACCAAAUGGUGUAACAUUAACGAAAACGUGCCAUGAAAGGCGUAUUGGGCACUGGAACCCAGGCUCAUUUCUAAGCUGUGUCUUUGUGGCUGAGUUGUAGAGAGUGUGGUGUGUGUCUGUCCAAAACGGUAAUGACAACGGGGCAAGGAUCGGGCGACGGGAUAGGCGCUGGGCAAUGGCACGAAACGAACUCUUCGCCAAAGUGCUUUAUAUAUGGUAUUUUGUAUUUGGUUUGGAGUCUGUGGACUGGGGGCGGGAUGGUGUGGCGUGAUAACACCUAAAUUAUUUUUUCAAAGGAUUAAAUUAAAUUCUAUUUGGUUUCGAAAAAACGGAAUAUGCCCAGUGUCUGUGUGUGUGUGUGUGUGUGUGUGAGCGUGUGCGUGAGUGUAUAUGUGUGAGUGCCUAUCUGUGGGGCUGCAUACAGCGCUGAGGCGGGGCGCUGUUCUCUGGCGAUGCUGUUCUGAUACCCUGUACAUUUUAUUUGUCCACAAAGGGGCUUACUAAUUUCCAAUCAUAUAAAAUGUACACAUUUA
rnacentral:sRNA from 1 species